UGCUGCUGAGCCUAAUGACCUGACU
rnacentral:piRNA from 1 species